UUGAGUCAGUCACGCCUAAAGCCUCCAUAAAAAACCAAAAGGACAGAGUUCGGUGGGCUUCCGGUUGGUGAACACGUGCUUUGGGAAGCCUGGCAGCCUGGAGCCGGCGUGGAGGCUCCCGCCCUCUGCCUGUACCCUGUUCCCACCCGGCUGGUCUCUGAUCCUGGGGCGUCUUCAGCACUGCUCCUGGGUCAGCGCCUGAGAGAGAAGAAAGCCACUGAGCGGAUGUGUGAAGCCGAAGGCAUGGCUGUCGGUGGACGGCGGCCGGGCCUCCAGCGGAUGGUGCACACCUGCUAGGAGCCCUGGGCUCUGCACCUGGUACCAGUUCCAGUGGGAUCCCUAGGGACACCUGCAGGGCCAGACACACAGGAGCAGCUACAGGGGUUUAGAGGCAUCACUGCACAGCUCUGGUCAACCUGAGAUGCAUAUUCUUCCACCCCAGCAACCCUACUAAGGGGCAAACGCCCCAGACUGUGAAGCCAGAGCUUGCAGCAUGGAGUUCUCAGUGGCUCCCGUCCCCCACCUGCUGCAAGGAAGACAGCAAGACCUUGUGAGCCCAGCCAGAGCCAAGUGGGACUUACUUCCCCGUGCAGGCGGCAGGUGGAGGGUCCGGUGGAGGGAGCAGCCGGCGCUUGGAGCCUCUGGCACCUGUGCAAGCUGAGGUUGGGUGGAACAGGCCUCUCCUUCCAAGCUGAGGCUCCUCAGGAGAAGAAUCUGGAAAACGUCAGGAAACCUCACAAAAGCAGAGUGUUGCUCCUUAAGGAAGCUGUGUAACUUGACUCCAAACGCAAUGAGUGAUCCUAGAGUGGGUCCCGGAUCCGGGAAGAGUUGCCACCUGGCAGUGCUGGGCAGUGGAAGGCAGAUCUGCUAAGUACGCCUUCUGUUCCAUCUGCGAUGGGCAGACACAUGCAAGUACGCCUGAAAAUGAACUGUCAGGAGCAUCUUCCAGGCAACGCACCAACACUCAUCCAAGAGGGAAAACUGUGAGUCUGGGAGCCGGGUCCCCACAAGCUGACUGGAAGGAAGAAAGUGGCGUGCAGUACCAGAUGACGCAGGUCAAGAAUGCGAACUGUCAACACAAGGAUGAGCAAGCAGGAGCCCCACCCUCAACACCACCUGGCAGGUUCCAAGCACCACAACUCCAGCUGCACCCCUUCUUCUCCUCACCCCCUCCAGAACUUUCUUGGAAUGCAAGUGAGAGCAAGGUAACAAUUAACAUGUGGAUAACUUCAAACUCAUGAUUUCCAUCGGGCUGCAGUACUCAAUCUGAAGGGUACAGUUCUGUGGCUUUUACACAGACACACAUCUGUGUAAUCCACUCAGAUGAAGUGCAGGGCUUUUCCGUCCCCCAGAGGUCUCCCUUUCCAGCAAAUACACCCCCACAGGUGCAACCACUGUUCUGACUUUGAGGCCAUAGAUUAGAGUCCCCAGAUCUUUCAUUUGGUAUAAACACAACAUGCAAUGCAUAGUCAUUGUGUCUGGUUUUAGGAGAUUCCUUCAUGUUGUUUAUGUAUCAAUCAAGUUCUUUUUUAGUCCAGAAUUGUAUUUCUUUGGAUGAACACACCACUAUGUAUCAUUCUCCUGCUGAUGGACAUUUGAGGUGUUCACUGUUUGUGUUUUAUAAACAUUCAUGGAACUCCAGGGAGAGGAAAUCCCAGGGCAAAAUACCUCUAAAACUGACAUCAGUCAAAGGGAGAAAUAAAGUUCAAAACCCCUUUAUUGCUUACAAACUGUGGUCCAGAGCCGUCUCUCUUUCUUGCUCUGGCAGAAGCAAGCCAGCCCGCCCCUUAACCUCUAAGGUUCAGAUAAGCCCUUGGUCACCCAGGGAAUUACCCACUGAUAUGGAGAUGGGUGACUCUCCACCCCUGCGGAAUACCUAUU